UACGUAGGGGGCAAGCGUUGUCCGGAUUUAUUGGGCGUAAAGAGCGUGUAGGCGGCUUUGCAAGUCCGUUGUGAAAACUCGAGGCUCAACCUCGAGACGCCGGUGGAAACUGCAAAGCUAGAGUCCGGAAGAGGAGAGUGGGAUUCCUGGUGUAGCGGUGAAAUGCGCAGAUAUCAGGACGAACACCCGUGGCGAAGGCGGCUCUCUGGGACGGUACUGACGCUGAGACACGAAAGCGUGGGAAGCGAACAGG
rnacentral:rRNA from 1 species